rnacentral:rRNA from 1 species
UCGAGCGAGCGGAACUGUAAGAUCUACUUCGGUAGUGAAGUUUCGGAAGCGAGCGGCGGAUGGGUGAGUAACACGUGGGUAACCUGCCCUUAAGUCGGGGAUACCACUUGGAAACAGGUGCUAAUACCGGACAACAACAAGUGCUGCAUGGCACUUGCUUGAAAGGCGGCGCAAGCUGUCGCUAAAGGAUGGACCCGCGGUGCAUUAGCUAGUUGGUAAGGUAACGGCUUACCAAGGCAACGAUGCAUAGCCGAGGUGAGAGACUGAUCGGCCACAUUGGGCACUGAGACAGGACCCAACUCUAUACGGGAGGCAGCAGUAUGGAAUCUUCCACAAUGGGCGAAAGCCUGAUGGAGCAACGCCGCGUGAGUGAAGAAGGUUUUCGGAUCGUAUAGCUCUGUCGUUGGUGAAGAAGGAUAAAGGUAGUAACUGGCCUUUAUUUGACGGUAAUCAACGAGAAAGUCACGGCUAACUACGUGCCAGCAGCCGCGGUAAUACAUAUGAUGGCAAGCGUUGUCCGGAUUUAUUGGGCGCACAGCGAGCGCAGGCAGAGAAACCAGUCUGAUGUGACAACCCCUCGGCGUAACCGGAGAAUUGCAUCGGAAACUGUUUUUCUUGAAUGCAGAACAGGAGAGUAGGAACUCCAUGUGUAGCGAUGGAAUGCGUAGAUAUAUGGAGGAGCACCAUAGUGCAAAGGCGCUCGACUCUGGUCUGUAACUGACGACUGAAGAUCCAAAGCAUCGCGCAGCGAGACAGGACAUAGAUCCCUGCAGUCCAUCCGUACAACGAAGAGUCGCCAAGUCUCGUGAGCUUCAGCCUAAAAGUGUGCAGCGAACGCAUUAUCAGCAAUCCGACUGGGGAGUACGACCGCAAGAUUGAAACUCAAAGGAAUUGACGGGGGCCCGCACAAGCGGAGGAGCAUGUGGACUAAUUCGAUAGCAACGCGACAGAACCUUACCAGGACCGGACAUCUAGCGCAAUACGUACAGAUAAGGAGGUUCCCUUCAGGCACGCUAACACAGGUGGUGCAUGGCUGACGUCAGCACGUGUCGAAACAUGUUAGGUUAAGGCGCCGCAACGAGCGCAACCCUUGUCAUUAGUUGCCAGCAUUAAGUUGGGCACUCUAAUGAGACUGCCGGUGACAAACCGGAGGAAGGUGGGGACGACGUCAAGUCAUCAUGCCCCUUAUGACCUGGGCUACACACGUGCUACAAUGGGCAGUACAACGAGAAGCAAGCCUGCGAAGGCAAGCGAAUCUCUGAAAGCUGUUCUCAGUUCGGACUGCAGUCUGCAACUCGACUGCACGAAGCUGGAAUCGCUAGUAAUCGCGGAUCAGCACGCCGCGGUGAAUACGUUCCCGGGCCUUGUACACACCGCCCGUCACACCAUGGGAGUCUGCAAUGCCCGAAGC